AGCAAUUUGGCGCAGUGGAAGCGCGGUAUGUCUAGCCAACUGUCCACUGCACGACAAUUGACGCUAACUCUCAUCCAGCCGGGCUCAUAACCCGGAGGUCGUACGAUCGAAACGUACAAUUGCUA